GGUGCAGAAGGCUGCAGCAGGUGUUCUGAGUUGGUGAUUGGGUGAUUGUGUGCAGGUGGAAGUCAUGCAAUCAAGCUGCUCCCGCUCUGCUUAUAAUCAGACGCCACUCUGUCGUGGAUGUGGGACUGUGAGCAAUGAACAUGUCGACUUCUGCCUGCUUCAGCUCCCGGAUCCUCUGCCUGGUUACCUACCUCCUUCCCACCUUUCAGCCUCCUGGAUGAAACACCUGCUGUCAGCCAGACCUCGCCACCUGAGACGCCAUAACCAUCCAGGUGUGUAUUGGUGCAGAAGGCUGCAGCAGGUGUUCUGAGUUGGUGAUUGGGUGAUUGUGUGCAGGUGGAAGUCAUGCAAUCAAGCUGCUCCCGCUCUGCUUAUAAUCAGACGCCACUCUGUCGUGGAUGUGGGACUGUGAGCAAUGAACAUGUCGACUUCUGCCUGCUUCAGCUCCCGGAUCCUCUGCCUGGUUACCUACCUCCUUCCCACCUUUCAGCCUCCUGGAUGAAACACCUGCUGUCAGCCAGACCUCGCCACCUGAGACGCCAUAACCAUCCAGGUGGGUUAUAAUCUAGUGGAAAGCUUGGACGCCUCGUAGCCAUACCUCUGCCUCAGCUGCUCCAUCGCUGGUCCAAACACCUGCAAGAGGAUUCACUUACCUGGACUGGCCCGGCUUUCCCCCUAUCCUGAACUCUGUUCCUCCAUGACAGCCAGUUAAGUCUCUGUUCCCGAGUAGUAUCGGACUAUCGUUGACCAACAUUAGUAUUACAGCCGUUCGUUAGUUGUAUCCUGUAUUAUUCUCUGGUAAAUAAUUGUAGUUUUGUAAAUGGUUGUUUUGGGUGUUGGAUUACUGUUGGUAUUGAUUCUGGAUUUUGUUGAUGUUAUUUAGGAUUCCUGCCUUAGUGCUACCGAAUGUGAGUUUUCAUGGUCUGAGAGCCCAGCUCUCUCCUGUUGCCCCGGUCUGAGAGCCCAGCUCUCUCCUGUUGCCCCGGUCUGAGAGCCCAGCUCUCUCCUGUUGCCCCGGUCAGAGAGCCCAGCUCUCUCCUGUUGCCCCGGUCAGAGAGCCCAGCUCUCUCCUGUUGCCCCGGUCAGAGAGCCCAGCACUCUCCUGUUGCCCCGGUCAGAGAGCCCAGCACUCUCCUGUUGCCCUGGUCUGAGAGCCCAGCCGACUGAUUGGUUGGCUGGCCGGUGGCUCGCUGGCUGGCUGGCUCCCUCCUGUUGCCCCGGUCUGAAAGCCCAGCUUUCUCCUGUUGCCCCGGUCAAAGAGCCCAGCUCGGCUGGGCUCUCAGACCGGCUGGCUGGCUGACUGGUCGGCUGGCUGACUGGUCGGCUGGCUGGCCGGCGGGCUGGCUGGCUCCUGUUGCCCCGGUCAGAGAGCCCAGCUCUCUCCUGUUGCCCUGGUCUGAGAGCCCAGCUCUCUCCUGUUGACCUGGUCUGAGAGCCCAGCUCUCUCCUGUUGACCCGGUCAAAGAGCCCAGCUCAGCUGGGCUCUCGGACCAGCCGGCUGGCUGGCUCUCUCCUGUUGCCCCGGUCAGAGCGCAGUUCUUUCUCCUGUUGCCCCGGUCAGAGAGCC